AAGGGGCAAAACAUCUGUCCAAUGCCCUAAAGAGUCCAAACAAUAAGUUACAGAAGCUACACCUGUCAGAGAAUGAAAUUGGAAGUGAAGGGGCAAAACAUCUGUCCGAGGCCCUAAAGAGUCCAAACAAUAACUUACAGCAGCUACACCUGUCAGGGAAUGAAAUUGGAAGUGAAGGGGCAAAACAUCUGUCCGAGGCCCUAAAGAGUCCAAACAAUAACUUACAGCA